AGGACACCUAGAGGCAGCAUGGAACCAACUCAAUGCCCAACGAAUGGGAGUUCUCGGUCAACUCACUCCCCCUAGCGGCGGCACAUCACAUGACUGUGACAUACCCCUGGCAGGUGUUGGCUGACCGGGACAUUUGAAAUCACAGAUGAGUCAUUCACCCUAUGCCUCAUAUAGUCCAUACCUGCAACUAAGGACGUUUUCUUGUUUCCCCUGAUAAACAUAGUGCUACUCCUAUGCUCACAUGCUAUGCUUUACAACCCGCUGUAAUUAUUCUGUAUUCCUAUCGACUAACAACACCGGUAUAAACAUGUGCCAAACAUUCCACAAAGUGCAACCUUUACAACGGGCACAUUAC